rnacentral:rRNA from 1 species
GUGGGGAAUAUUGGACAAUGGGCGAAAGCCUGAUCCAGCCAUGCCGCGUGUGUGAAGAAGGUCUUCGGAUUGUAAAGCACUUUAAGUUGGGAGGAAGGGCAGUAAGUUAAUACCUUGCUGUUUUGACGUUACCGACAGAAUAAGCACCGGCUAACUUCGUGCCAGCAGCCGCGGUAAUACGAAGGGUGCAAGCGUUAAUCGGAAUUACUGGGCGUAAAGCGCGCGUAGGUGGUUUUGUAAGGUGGAGGGGAAAUGCCCGGGCUCAACCUGGGAACUGGCGCCAAAACUGCAUGACUAGAGUACGGUAGAGGGUAGUGGAAUUUCCUGUGUAGCGGUGAAAUGCGUAGAUAUAGGAAGGAACACCAGUGGCGAAGGCGACUACCUGGACUGGUACUGACACUGAGGUGCGAAAGCGUGGGGAGCAAAAAGGAUUAGAAACCCUUGUAGUCC